rnacentral:rRNA from 1 species
GACGAACGCUGGCGGCGUGCCUAAUACAUGCAAGUAGAACGCAUUUGCGAAAGGGUGAGUAAGGCGUAGGAAACUGCCUCAUAGCGGGGGAUAACUAUUGGUAACAAUAGCUAACACCGCAGACUGUGAGAUGGACCUGCGUAGUAUUAGCCAGUUGGUGAGGUAAAGGCUCACCAAGGCGACGAAAGAUAGCCGACCUGAGAGGGGGGUCGGCCAAAAUGGGGCUGAGACACGGGCCAGACACCAACGGGAGGCAGCAAUAGGGAAUCUUCGGGAAUGGACGGAAUGCUGACCGAGCAACUCAGCGUGAGUGAAGAAGGUUUUCGGAUCAUAAAACUCUGUUGUUGGAGAAGCGGUAACUAACCAGAAAGGGACGGCUAACUACGUGCCAGCAGCCGCGGUAAUGC